UACCAGCACCCCGAGUGGUCGGGACGUUUAUUGGGCCUAAAGCAUCCGUAGCCGGUUCUACAAGUCUUCCGUUAAAUCCACCUGCUCAACAGAUGGGCUGCGGAAGAUACUAUGGAGCUAGGAGGCGGGAGAGGCAAGCGGUACUCGACGGGUAGGGGUAAAAUCCGUUGAUCCAUUGAAGACCACCAGUGGCGAAGGCGGCUUGCCAGAACGCGCUCGACGGUGAGGGAUGAAAGCUGGGGGAGCAAACCGG
rnacentral:rRNA from 1 species